rnacentral:tRNA from 1 species
GGUGGGUUGGCCGAGUGGUUAAGGCGGUGGGCUUAAGAUCCACUGGGGACAAUCCCCGCGUGGGUUCGAACCCCACAUCCACCA